UUUCGCAGCUGGGGGUGCCUUAUCUGGCUGAGAUGGCGUAAUAGCCUGUCCCUUCGAACCUGAUGCGGGUAAUCCCGCCGUAGGGAAGCUCCAUAGAUUCUGU
rnacentral:ncRNA from 2 species